AGUGAACGCUGGCGGUAGGCCUAAUACAUGCAAGUCGAGCGGCCGCACAGUAAGCUUUUUCUCUUACGGUUGGCGACUGGCGGACGGGUGAGAAAUACAUCGGAAUCUACUUUUUCUGGGGGGAUUACGGGGGGCAACUGAUGCUAAUACCGCAUACGUUCAACGGCUUAAAUCAGUAGUGAAUCGCAGUUUUCCCGUCUGAUUUAGACGGAGUCGCAUUAGCUAGUUGGCGAGGUAAAGGCCCACCAAGGCAACGAUCCGUAGCUGACCUGAGAGGAUGAUCAGCCACACUGGAACUGAGACACGGUCCAGACUCCUACGGGAGGCAGCAGUAGGGAAUAUUGCACAAUGGGCGCAAGCCUGACCCAGCAACGCCGCGUGAGUGAAGAAGGUCUUCGGAUCGUAAAGCUCUGUUAUUAGGAAAGAAAAACUGCAUAAGAAACCACCCAUGUCCUGACGGUACCCAAAGAGAAAGCCACGGCUAACUUCGUG
rnacentral:rRNA from 1 species